CACGUAGGCGCAAGCGUUGUCCGGAAUUAUUGGGCGUAAAGAGCUCGUAGGCGGUCUGUUGCGUCUGCUGUGAAAACUCGGGGCUUAACCCCGAGCCUGCAGUGGAUACGGGCAGACUAGAGGUAGGUAGGGGAGAAUGGAAUUCCCGGUGUAACGGUGAAAUGCGCAGAUAUCGGGAGGAACACCGGUGGCGAAGGCGGUUCUCUGGGCCGUUACCUGACGCUGAGGAGCGAAAGCGUGGGGAGCGAAACAGGAUUGAGAAACCCU
rnacentral:rRNA from 1 species